UUAUUUAAAAUAUUUUCUUCGUCUAUAAAAUUACCCCAAAAUAUUUUUAACUUUUCUUAACGUUUUAUUUAAUUUUAUAUAAUUUUUAUUUUCGUAUUUUUUUAAUAUUAAUAUUUUAUUUUAAUUAUUUAUUCUAACUGGUCCAUUUUAACAUACUUUUUUUUAUUGAUUUUAUUUUUACGACUUAAAAUUAUUUUUAGCAUUUGAUUUUUGGGAUGAAGGAUGACCAC
rnacentral:lncRNA from 1 species